GACGAACGCUGGCGGCGUGCCUAAUACAUGCAAGUAGAACGCUGAAGAGAGGAGCUUGCUCUUCUUGGAUGAGUUGCGAACGGGUGAGUAACGCGUAGGUAACCUGCCUUGUAGCGGGGGAUAACUAUUGGAAACGAUAGCUAAUACCGCAUAACAAUGGAUGACACAUGUCAUUUAUUUGAAAGGGGCAAUUGCUCCACUACAAGAUGGACCUGCGUUGUAUUAGCUAGUAGGUGAGGUAACGGCUCACCUAGGCGACGAUACAUAGCCGACCUGAGAGGGUGAUCGGCCACACUGGGACUGAGACACGGCCCAGACUCCUACGGGAGGCAGCAGUAGGGAAUCUUCGGCAAUGGGGGCAACCCUGGCCGAGCAACGCCGCGUGAGUGAAGAAGGUUUUCGGAUCGUAAAGCUCUGUUGUAAGUCAAGAACGAGUGUGAGAGUGGAAAGUUCACACUGUGACGGUAGCUUACCAGAAAGGGACGGCUAACUACGUG
rnacentral:rRNA from 1 species